UACGUAGGGUGCGAGCGUUAAUCGGAAUUACUGGGCGUAAAGCGUGCGCAGGCGGUUUUGUAAGCCAGAUGUGAAAUCCCCGGGCUUAACCUGGGAAUGGCAUUUGGGACUGCAAGGCUGGAGUGCGGCAGAGGAGACUGGAAUUCCUGGUGUAGCAGUGAAAUGCGUAGAUAUCAGGAGGAAUACCGAUGGCGAAGGCAGCCCCCUGGGUCAAAACUGACGCUGAGAAGCGAAAGCAUGGGGAGCGAACAGG
rnacentral:rRNA from 1 species